AAGCAUGUAAAAUAUCAACGUGGUUGCACACUUUGAAUAAAUUAAUGAUUUACAUGACUAUAAAAAAACAUAAUAGGAUCAGAUUCAACAAUUUAGAAAAAAAAUACGAGCAGAUACGCUUAUCAACUGUCAAUUUAAUUGAUGAUGUCACCAAUUAUAACAUGCAUCUUGUUUGUGUUGAUGUGUCGUGCAAGUAAUGGAACCACUGGAUUUACAGCAACAUUACCUUUAGGUUUUAACCCAGUUGCGAUAAACAGUAAAGUCAAUUACAAUCAGAUCCUUCUUAACAAAGGCGGAGACUAUACCUCAGGUCUUUUUACGGUUAAAACGAAAGGUCUUUACCACGUGUCUGUGUCCAUGAUGUCAAGCCUUAUAACCUCCCACCUUACUCUAAGAAAGAAUAAUGGUAUUUUGGUAUGGCUAUACACUUCUAAUGAAUAUGAUAUGGCUUCCCAAGUUAUCAACCUUGAACUGGAUGUAGCAGACGUGAUAAGUGUACAUGUGAACACUGGGUCGAACAUUUGGAGUGUUUAUAACACUUUCAGCGCAAUUUGUAUAGGCCAAGGUAGAGGAGGAGGUUAAAAUUGGGCUACACUUACAGGUGAAGAUGUAGUAAGCUAAACUAUGUUACGUUUGAAACGAAACAAAUGUAAGCAAUAAAUGCUCAUAAAUACACUUCUCCAUUU